rnacentral:lncRNA from 1 species
GUGUGAAUGAAAAGCAUUUGAAAGAAGAUAGUAAUUUUGGAAGGCUGAGAUGAAGAGAGCACAUAUUUCAGGAAUUAAGAGAAAUUUCCUUGUAAUAUUCCUUAAGGUUAGAGAUUUAUUGUGGCAGCCCUUAAAAGCUAGAAUAGGCAGUUUUGCAUUUCACUCCAGAAGCAAUUAACAAUGCUUUUGAGAAGGGAUUUGCCAUGGAGUUAUUCGCGCUCCCCCCAUCCCCCCCGCCAAAAAACCCCCAAAUUUCUGGAAAGAUGUGAUAUCAUAAGCAAACCAGUUCUGGGGAACAGGGGCAAAAUAAUUUUGGUUAUAUCAUUUGAGGUAUUAGAAGCAUAUUCUAAGUGAAAAUGGUCAGGAGAGAAUUGGAAAUUUAGGGUUGAAGAUCAAAUAAAGGGCUGAAUAUACAAAUUUGGAAUCAGUUAAAGUUGAAUUCAUGAGUAUAAAAGAGUGACAAGAGACAAGAUCUUUAAAAAUACAUACUAUGUUUAGGGAUCAAAAGAAGAACAAAGCCAGAAGUAGGAUAAAGAACUCUGGCGUCAAGAAAAGAAUGAGAACACUAAUAAGUAGUAAAAGAAUUUAAGACUGAAAAAAGUAAUCAAGCUGAGCAACUUAGCAGUGUUGUAGAAGGGUUGAACUGGAAAGGACCUGCAGUGUCCUCACUGACCAAACUAUUAAGCAUGCUUUAAAUGAGUAUCCCAAAUGCUUAUCUGAAGAUAGUAAAAGGCCUCAGUUUGAAGGUACAGACAAAAAAAAAAAAAAUUCGCCCAAACCAUGCAAAUUUUUCCAAUCAAUUUGCAGCAACAAUUAAAUUUUGAAGUCUUAAAAUACUUUUUUGCUUAUAGACUUUUUGCUUCUAAGUUUAAGGGGAAAAUCACAUUAAAUUUUGCAAAGAAGAAUAGGAUUUCGUCUUUUAACACACAUGUACUCUCAACAAGUGUCAGUUGUUAGUCUGAUUUGCAAUUGUAUAGUAUUUAAGCACUUUAGAAACCUACUAUUAACCCUACAUUGCAACACCCACAUAGAGCAAGUGUUGGGAAUCAAAAAAAUACUUUUCAAUAUGCAUGUGGUGACAAUUUAUGUGGCCCUAGGAAAUCUCUAAAUUAUUGCACGCAGGAUUUUAUUUGAUUAUUUUCAAAACAUUCAUUUUUUUCUUCCGAUCUUAAAGUACUUUGUCAGCUUAAACUAGUCAUAUCUCUUUAAAUAACAAAUGAAUGAGAAUGCUAAUUGCAAUUAAACAUACCAAGACUGAUAGUUUAAAACUUCAACUUCACAUUAAAAAGCAUUAGGAUUUAAAGGUGACUGAAAAAAAAAAAACUUUAGAGUGUGUAUUUAGAAUCACACACAGGUUACCUUUACAGUUCAAUUUACUAUAUAGAAAUCAUGUUUUUAUAUUCAGUUAAAUUUUGGAUUGAUUACACAAUAUUGUAAACAGAAAGGAUAGUAACAUUAAUUCAGUACUUUUUAGCAUAUCAAAUUGAAAUACAUAGGUUCAAAACUUCAAUUUUUAUGGCAAACAGUCUUCAAAUACAAUACAGACAUCUCCUGAAGUUACUACCAUAUCAUUUACAAAGGUGAUACAGCUCUGAGCUGUUUUUCAUUUUCACAUAAAACAAUCUUCUACAGACUUCACAGCAAAAUUGAUAGGCUGUGAAAUUUAGAAGCUAUCAUAAGUGAUCAAUAAGCUCAAAGUUGCACAAGUUUGGCAUUUUGGGGCCACAAACAAGCAUGACAUGUAAAGGAGGUAGGGAAGCAAUUCCUGCAUCUCUCAGAGUUCCAAGGAUAUUGCAUGGUAAGUUUAGAAUUUAGAAUUUUGCAUAAAACCCUACAUUUAGCCUUGGCUAGCCCCACAAAUACAAUUAAGAUGACAUACCAGCAUGCUAGGAUCCUAAAUUUUAGUAGCCCCAAUAUUAAGUUCAAAUAGGCAUUCAUUAAAUCACAAAAUAUCAAGCAAUGAGUGCACCCUAUUGGUUUCAAAGGUUGAAAUUUUGAGAGAAACAUGAUCAAUUUCUUUCUGCUUUGAAUUCAGCACACAUGUAAAAACCAGCUCUGUAUUAAAUAUUCCUAACUCAAAAAUACAGGUUAAGAUUUUCUGUCAAUUGGCACCAAUGUGAAGUUAUAUUUCCACUUGGGAGGCAGAAAUUCCACACCUGAGCAAAAGCUAAGUUAGGAACAAUGAUCCUUAUUUCAUUACUAUUUCAAUUCUGAAAGCUAAAAUUAUUAAUAACAUUAGCAAUGAACAUUACAAAUCCUGACUAAACAUUGUCAGGCUAAGAACAAACAAAAACCCCAACCAAAUUAGUACAAGAAUUAAAAGAAUAAUGCGAACUGAACUCAAAGUAACAAAGAAUUAAGAGAACAGCUUAAAAUUUCUUUUUCUAAUUACCACGGUUGAAAAACUUAAUAGUGUGCUUUCCUGCAAUUAAAAAAUUUAAAUAUCCAGUGCAAAAGAGCAUCAAGGUUUUUGAAGAUGGAUAUAGCCCUUCUUUUUACUGAUAUGCGUAACUAUUUGCAAUUUAUCCCCCCCAUCUAUUCUGUUAUUUAGCAUAAAUUACCAUUUUGGCCAAUAAACUUGUAAUUUUAUGUCUAAAAUACUACAUGCAUUGUAUCUAUAUACAGAUGUCUAUUUAUUACUGUUGGGCUUGCAGGUUUUUUUUUUU